CCUACGGGAGACAGCAGUGAGGAAUAUUGGUCAAUGGGCGAGAGCCUGAACCAGCCAAGUCGCGUGAAGGAUGACGGCCCUACGGGUUGUAAACUUCUUUUGUCAGGGAGCAAUUGGGUGCACUCGUUGGCUUAGCGAGAGUACCGGAAGAAAAAGCAUCGGCUAACCCCGUGCCAGCGGCCGCGGUAUUACGGAGGAUGCGAGCGUUAUCCGGAUUUAUUGGGUUUAAAGGGUGCGUAGGCGGAAUUUCAAGUCAGCGGUAAAAAUUCGGGGCUCAACCCCGUCGUGCCGUUGAAACUGAGGUUCGUGAGUGGGGGAGAGGUAUGCGGAAUGCGCGGUGUAGCGGUGAAAUGCAUAGAUAUCGCGCAGAACUCCGAUUGCGAAGGCAGCUUGCCGGCGCCCAACUGACGCUGAAGCACGAAAGCGUGGGGAUCGAACAGGAUUAGAUACCCCGGUAGUC
rnacentral:rRNA from 1 species